rnacentral:rRNA from 1 species
AGAGUUUGAUCCUGGCUCAGAGUGAACGCUGGCGGCAGGCCUAAUACAUGCAAGUCGAACGGCAGCACAGCAGAGCUUGCUCUGUGGGUGGCGAGUGGCGGACGGGUGAGGAAUACAUGGGAAUCUGCCCAGUCGUGGGGGAUAACGUAGGGAAACUUACGCUAAUACCGCAUACGACCUACGGGUGAAAGCGGAGGACCUUCGGGCUUCGCGCAGAUAGAUGAGCCGACGUCGGAUUAGCUAGUUGGCGGGGUAAAGGCCACCAAGGCGACGAUCCGUAGCUGGUCUGAGAGGAUGAUCAGCCACACUGGAACUGAGACACGGUCCAGACUCCUACGGGAGGCAGCAGUGGGGAAUAUUGGACAAUGGGCGCAAGCCUGAUCCAGCCAUGCCGCGUGUGUGAAGAAGGCCUUCGGGUUGUAAAGCACUUUUGUUGGGGAAGAAAAGCACUGGGUUAAUACCCUGGUGUCAUGACGGUACCCAAAGAAUAAGCACCGGCUAACUUCGUGCCAGCAGCCGCGGUAAUACGAAGGGUGCAAGCGUUACUCGGAAUUACUGGGCGUAAAGCGUGCGUAGGUGGUUUGUUAAGUCUGAUGUGAAAGCCCUGGGCUCAACCUGGGAAUUGCAUUGGAUACUGGCAGUCUAGAGUGCGGUAGAGGGUAGCGGAAUUCCCGGUGUAGCAGUGAAAUGCGUAGAUAUCGGGAGGAACAUCCGUGGCGAAGGCGGCUACCUGGACCAGCACUGACACUGAGGCACGAAAGCGUGGGGGAGCAAACAGGAUUAGAUACCCUGGUAGUCCA